rnacentral:rRNA from 1 species
UACAGAGGGUGCAAGCGUUGUUCGGAAUUAUUGGGGCGUAAAGCGCGUGUAGGCGGCUUUGCAAGUCGGGUGUGAAAGCCCUCAGCUCAACUGAGGAAGUGCGCCCCGAAACUGCAGAGCUUGAGUACCGGAGAGGAUGGUGGAAUUCCCCAAGUAGAGGUGAAAUUCGUAGAUAUGGGGGAGGAACACCGGUGGCGAAGGCGACCAUCUGGACGGAUACUGACGCUGAGACGCGAAAGCGUGGGGAGCGAACAGG